rnacentral:tRNA from 1 species
GGAGAGUUACCUAAGUGGUCAUACAGGUUCCGCCUGCUAAGCGGCUAGUCGGCUAAUAACCGGCACAUGGGUUCGAAUCCCAUACUCUCCGCCA